rnacentral:lncRNA from 1 species
AAUUGCUAGUACAUGAAUUAACCCAAAUUCUCAAUUGGGUUCAGUGCAAAGAUGUUUUGUGCUAACCCUUGACUUGAUGCCUUGAUCUAAUGAGAUUAGGUUCAAUCCUUAAGUCAUGAGAUAGCUUAACUUAUUAUUUUGAAAGUGUUUCAGCUUAUCUAGGAUUGCUCCAUGCCAUUCACCAUGCCAAAGAAAUAAAUGGCACCAUUUUUUGCAUUAAGAAGGAAGAGUCCUUAACGAAGACUCUUAACUCUUUUUUAUUUUUUCACACGUUCCUUUUACUCCACACACCAUUUGAUGGCUCUUGGGGAUAUGUUGGCAUAGAAGUGGAGGAGUCCUUUUGCUUGAAGGCUCUUCGAUACCCAAUUUCUUUCCAUAUAAAAGAAUUUAUUCUUUGUGGAAGACUAGGGACAUCGCGUGGGAGUUUAUGCACCAAUCUGAUUUCUUCUCCCUUUCCUCUUAAUUCUUACACACCUUAAUUUAUGGGACAUGAGAAGGAAGAGUUCUUCUACUCCUAAAUUUCCUCACAUGCUAUUUAAUUAUGGUGAUUUAUUGAAAUCACUAUGUGGAAUGAGAGAUGCCAAGUGUUGGCAUCCCUUGAAAAAAAUAUGGUGCCUCUUCUGAUCCUAUAAAUAAGGAGGUGCUAACUCAGGUUCCACAUCUCAUUUUUGAUUGAGAUUGGGCAUAAGAGUGAGAGAAAAC